CUCAAAGUCACAGCCUGGCUUACUCUUUUCUUUCAGAGGGAAUUGAUUUUUGGUGAGGCUUCUGGAGAGAAGCAGCAGUAGUUAACACUCUGGCCAACACUCCAGCGAAGGGCUCAACCCCUUGUGAAUGGGCUAGGGUUGUGGCUAGGAGGAGGAUACUUCUUGGAGUUUCACUUUUAACUUACCUUUCUUCAUCUCCAUAUUUGUCAAAUUGGGCUCUUUCAUUGCUUUGGCGUUUGCCUAUUGAUUACGGCUAAUUUGACAUCAAGAUUCAAUCUUUUUGAGAUUUUUUGCUUGUUUGUUUGAUAUGUGAAUUGGGGAGUUUCAAAGUUCAAAACAUUUUUUUUGUGGGGGUGGAGAGAUUAGUUGGAAAGGAGUAGCUAACCGAUUGAAGGAAAUAAUUUGAUUUGUAGCAGGGAAAGAUAUGGCAAUUUGCAAUUGCUUUUGUGGUCCAGUAGGGAGAAGAAGCAAGAAAGAUAAGGGGGAGAAGGGAGCU